rnacentral:rRNA from 1 species
AUUGAACGCUGGCGGCAUGCCUUACACAUGCAAGUCGAACGGCAGCACGGGAGCAAUCCUGGUGGCGAGUGGCGAACGGGUGAGUAAUGUAUCGGAACGUGCCCAGUCGUGGGGGAUAACGUAGCGAAAGCUACGCUAAUACCGCAUACGAUCUAUGGAUGAAAGCGGGGGACCGUAAGGCCUCGCGCGAUUGGAGCGGCCGAUAUCAGAUUAGGUAGUUGGUGGGGUAAAGGCCUACCAAGCCGACGAUCUGUAGCUGGUCUGAGAGGACGACCAGACACACUGGGACUGAGACACGACCCAGACUCCUACGGGAGGCAGCAGUGGGCAAUUUUGGACAAUGGGCGCAAGCCUGAUCCAGCAAUGCCGCGUGCAGGAUGAAGGCCUUCGGGUUGUAAACUGCUUUUGUACGGAGCGAAAAGGCUCUCUCUGAUACAGGGGGCUCAUGACGGUACCGUAAGAAUAAGCACCGGCUAACUACGUGCCAGCAGCCGCGGUAACAC